rnacentral:rRNA from 1 species
CGUGUAGGCGGAGAUGCAAGUUGGGAGUGAAAUCCCUGAGCUUAACUUAGGAAUUGCAUUCGAUACUGGGAAGCUAGAGUAUGGGAGAGGAUGGUAGAAUUCCAGGUGUAGCGGUGAAAUGCGUAGAGAUCUGGAGGAAUACCGAUGGCGAAGGCAGCCAUCUGGCCUAAUACUGACGCUGAGGUACGAAAGCAUGGGGAGCAAACAGGAUUAGAUACCCCCGUA